AUUGAACACUGGCGGCAGGCCUAACACAUGCAAGUCGAACGAGUGGCGGACGGGUGAGUAAUGUCUGGGAAACUGCCUGAUGGAGGGGGAUAACUACUGGAAACGGUAGCUAAUACCGCAUACCAUCGGAUGUGCCCAGAUGGGAUUAGCUAGUAGGUGGGGUAACGGCUCACCUAGGCGACGAUCCCUAGCUGGUCUGAGUGGAUGACCAGCCACCAGGGAACUGCAACACGGUCCAGACUCCUACGGGAGGCAGCAGUGGGGAAUAUGGCACAAUGGGCGCAAGCCUAAUGCAGCCAUGCCGCUUGUAUGAAGAAGGCCUUCGGGUUGUAAAGGACUUUCAGCGGGGAGGCGUUACCCGCAGAAGAAGCACCGGCUAACUCCGUGCCAGCAGCCGCGGUAAUAC
rnacentral:rRNA from 1 species